CUGCUCCUGGAAGCUGAAUUCAGAUGGUGCCAUAGAGUAUUUUAUGGCAUCUAGCACCAUUUGAAAUCAGUGUUCCUGGGCCG